rnacentral:rRNA from 1 species
ACCCGCUGAACUUAAGCAUAUCAAUAAGCGGAGGAAAAGAAACCAACAGGGAUUGCCCUAGUAACGGCGAGUGAAGCGGCAAAAGCUCAAAUUUGAAAUCUGGCCUUCUAUGGGGGUCCGAGUUGUAAUUUGCAGAGGGCGCUUUGGCGUCGGCAGCGGUCUAAGUUCCUUGGAACAGGACGUCACAGAGGGUGAGAAUCCCGUACGUGGUCGCCUGCCUUCGCCGUGUAAAGCCCCUUCGACGAGUCGAGUUGUUUGGGAAUGCAGCUCUAAAUGGGAGGUAAAUUUCUCCUAAAGCUAAAUACUGGCCAGAGACCGAUAGCGCACAAGUAGAGUGAUCGAAAGAUGAAAAGCACUUUGGAAAGAGAGUCAAAUAGCACGUGAAAUUGUUGAAAGGGAAGCGCUUGCAGCCAGACGUGCCUGUAGUUGCUCAUCCGGGUUUCUACCCGGUGCACUCUUCUAUAGGCAGGCCAGCAUCAGUUUGGGCGGUUGGAUAAAGGUCUCUGUCAUGUACCUCUCUUCGGGGAGAACUUAUAGGGGAGACGACAUGCAACCAGCCUGGACUGAGGUCCGCGCAUCUGCUAGGAUGCUGGCGUAAUGGCUGU